UACUCUGAGUUUGGUUAAAGUAUCACGUGGUAACUUGUUCUUUUUAAGGGGUAGGGUUCGGGGGUGAUCAGAGGCGUAACAGAGGUAGGAGAAUGGUGGACUGCUGCAAAACAGAGAAAUUUGAGUUGCAUGUUCCGAAACUGGAAGAAUUGUGUGAAGUUCUGCAGGAUGGCCUGAAAAAGAACUUCACCGACACGAAAGUCAGUGUGGUGGACUGUCCCGACCUUUCGGAGGAUCCAUUUAGAUUUCCUGUGAAGGGACUGUGUGGUAAACCUCGAAUAACGGAUGUUGGCGGUGUUCCCUAUCUGGUUCCUCUGGUACAGCUUGAUAAGGUGUACAACAUGAACACUGUUGCCAAAGAGGUAGAACUGCCCGGAGCUUUCAUUCUGGGAGCUGGGGCUGUCUCUUCGAAAGCUGUAGGAAUGAAUGCAGAACUGAUGCCUCUGGUUCUCACUGAAUCGGGGGGGAAGCCAGCUGUGAACAGCAGCUACCUUUCCUCCAUUAACCCUGGUGAAGGGACGUGCCUGCUGGAGAAAUACAGCGACAAAUACUCGGACUGCGAUUUCGGACUUCUGGCCAACCUGUAUGCGUGUGAGGGCAAGCCAGGGAAGGUCCUGGAGGUGAAGGCCAGCAGACGGACGGGAGGAGACAGUCUGGUGACGUGCUUGAGGAAAACCUUGGCGAAUCACUACAGCGACAAAAGCCUGGCUCUCGGGGGAACCUUCGUAAUACAGAAAGGGAAAGCCAAAAUUCACAUCAUGCCGCGGGAGUUUUCGGCCUGCCCUCUCAAUAGCGACGAGGACGUGAACGAGUGGCUGAAGCACUUUGAAGUGAGCGCGCCUCUCGUCUGCCAGUCUGUGCUGGUGUCCAGGGACCCCGGUUUGGACCUGCGCGUGGAGCACACUCACUGCUUCAGUCACCAUGGCGAGGGAGGACACUACUACAUCGACACUACGCCGGACACCGUGGAAUACCUGGGCUACUUCCUGCCCGCCGAGUUCAUCUACCGCGUUGAUCGCCCCAAGACCACCCACGUGAUUGGACGAGAUUGAGAAGGGAAAGUAAAUUGUGUAAUCAAGCGUCCAUAUGUUGCAGUAGGGUCCACGAGUGUGGAGAGACGUGAGCAGCUAAGCAGGAGCAGGUCAUGGACACAAAAGCAAGCAGAAGAACUGAAGGAACAGCCUCUAGAUGUGACUGAAAAGGACUAUGCCAAAAGGACAAAAAAAAAUUUUUUUAAGAGCGUACUGCUUCCAAAAUCAGGCUUCCUGCUUACAUAAAAUAAAUAUGAUCACGUUGAGCUGAGA